GAUGAACGCUGGCGGCGUGCCUAAUACAUGCAAGUCGAACGGACAGACCAGAAGCUUCUUUCUCACACGUUAGCCGCAGGCGUGAGAAUCACACGUGGGUACCCCCCCUUUCUUCCUGAUAUAACUGCGGGACAGCGGCUCUUAUCCCGGAUAAUACAUUGAACCGCAUGGUUCUAGAAUGCAAUACGGGUUUGCUAUCACCUCUCGAUCUAUCCGCGCUGCAUUAGCUAGGUGGUAAGGUAACGGCUUACCAAGUCGACGAUGCGUAAGCGAAUGGGGAGGGGGAUAGCCCACAUGGGAACGGAGACAGGGUCAAGACGCCUAAGGGAGGCAGCAGUAGGGAAUCUUACGCAAUGGGGGAGAGCCUGACGGAGCAACGCCGAGUGAGUGAUGAAGGUCCUCGGAGCGUAAAGAUCGGUUACUAGGGAAGAACACAUGUGUAAGUAACUGUGCACAUCGUGACGGUACCUGAACAGAAAGCCACGGCUAACUACGUG
rnacentral:rRNA from 1 species